GGAAAUCAAAGGAGAACUAAACGCUGGAUCUUCAGUACACGGGAAGGGUAGGAUUCACUCCCAGAGGUCGAAGAACAGAGAGGAGAGAAUUCUCCCACAUGCCCCACCCUUCUGGGGCCUUCCUGACCCCACUCUGCCCUCCUCCUAGCUCCGCCUCUGCCAGCUACUUUGGGGGACUAGGUUGGGAUUCUCCACUUUUACCGAAGGCCUUCCAUGUGUCUAACUGCAGUUCUCUCUGUUGCAAGUUAAGCCGGAACUGAAAGACCAGAAACCAGCCUGCCCUAGUCAAAGAAAGUUAGGGCCCAACCAGCCUCUCCCCAAGAAGCAGGGUAAGGUGGGGCAUUCAUCUCUCUGGACCCUUUUCCCCAGCCUGAGCCAGCCUUUGGGGGUAGGGAGGAGGUCCCAGGGAAGAACCUGGUUGCCAAAGUCUCGGCCAGUUGGAGAAGAGAUGGGUCUCCCGAGGAUACCCAAGCCCAAGCUCUACACUGUCCCAAGGUGGUUUGUUUUUCUUCUUUCUUCUAUUGGUCUGGACCUUGUAUAUUCUGGGAGGAGGUGAUUAAGGCCAAAUUGCCUUAAGUGGCCAUCCAGCCAGAAGCUGGAAGAAGGGAAGGAUGAGAGGGAAUGAACUGUUGUGUUACGGCUAUUGAGAGAAACAGUGGCAAUACACAGCCAAAGCCCUGAGUUUCUAAUACGGCGCCACCUCUUAUGAGCUGUGAGAUCUUGGGCAAAGUAACUAACCUUUAAGUAUUUGUCUGUAGAAUUGAGAUUGAAAUACUUAUCUUUGCCAGAAUUGUUAUAAGAAUUAAAUGAGUUGAAAGUGUUUCAUCAAGUGUGCAAUGCUACUCAAGUAGGAGGGACUAAGCUACUUCCUUCUCUCACUGCUUGACUGAGCUUCUCUCCAGCCCCACCCCCUGAUGUUUACUGCUUAUGGAGAAAGAGAUUAAGUGAAGCAGGCCCACACAUUCAUGAAGGUGGAAGGAAGAUGUAGCAGGAGAUGGUGGAGAGGGAAACAGAGGAAGACAGGAUGACAGACGUGGGGAGGAAAGGCUGAGCGAGGCAAUGUCCUGACUCACUCUGGCGCUUCCCUCUUUCCCAUCUGGGCUCCAGAGUCUCUGCCCUCAUUCCCCUUCACCAGGUUGCUCAACCCUCCAUCAGACUGUUAGGUCAAGGGUGGACAAACAGACCAACCGGGAUCUGGAUGGCCCCUGGGCAGUACUGACUUCCCCUACCAUUCCCAUGGCAAGAAAAGGGAGUGAUUCCACUAGCAGACUCCCCUACCCUGCAGUGAGACAGCCUGUAGGAAGCCUCAACUCCCGACCCAUGGCCUGUGGUGAGAGGUGCUAACAACAUGACCUGCUUUCAUCUUGACCUUCCCAGCCCACCCAGAGAAAAGGGAAUCUUGGCUAAAAAAAGGCUGGAAGAGGGGAGAACCCUGGCACUGCGGGUGGGGCUGGGAGGAGCCCAGGCAACCUUACUGGUGAGAAUCUCAUGGCUCUUCAAGGUGAAUAUGAUGAUGAUUUCCCUGGGGUUUCUUUCAAUACUCAGAAGCCGCCCCGAGUUGGAAAGCACAUGCAUACUUGGGGAGGCCAGGGGAGGAAAAGGGGGGCGGCUCACUCUGACAGUAAAUGAAGAAAGUGGAAACAAAUUCAAGGAGCAGGCAGAGCUCCCGGUUUCACCAGAGCCCAACGGUUGGUAAUAAGGAUGAGAACAAUGUGCCUUCACUUCCUGGGAUCAGAACAGCACAUGGCCGCACAUGUACGGGUAUGCAUGUGCUUCCAUAAUCAUAUACUUUCCCAGCUUCUACUCUGCCUGUGGUCUAAUUUCAACUCCUUCAGCUGCUGUACCCACCCAUAAAAUUAUGAGUGUAAAAGCACUUUGCAAACCCUGAUACUCUAUGAAGAAGUAAAAAGUAGUGCUGUAAUUAUUAUCAUUAUUAUGUCCAAUGGUUGAGGUUUCCGCUGCCCACCUGUCAGCUAUGUGAGGCCUAAAGAGAGGGAGGGCUAGGCCAUUCCUCAGCUUCUGAGGUUCCUGGCCCUUUUCCCCUUCCAUCUGUCCACAGCUGACUGCUAAGCUGGAUGCGUAGGGGAAAGCAGAGAAAAGGUGAUUUACUGGGACACAGAGACACAGGCUGGAAGAGAUAGCAUGUGUUUCCUUAAAAUUUGAAGCAUUUGGCUGGGCACAGUGGCUCACACCUGUAAUCCCUGCACUUUGGGAGGUAAAGGCAAGAGGAUUUCCUGGGCCCAAGAGUUAGAGGCUGCAGUGAGCUAUGAUUGUGCCAUUGUACUCCAGCCUGGGAGACAGAAACCCCCUCUCUUAAAAAAAUAAAAAAAUAAAAAAUGGAACCAUUGCUCUGAGUUUCUAAUAGGGGGAGU
rnacentral:lncRNA from 10 species